rnacentral:rRNA from 1 species
UACGUAGGGUGCAAGCGUUAAUCGGAAUACUGGGCGUAAAGCGUGCGCAGGCGGUGAUGUAAGACAGAUGUGAAAUCCCCGGGCUCAACCUGGGAACUGCAUUUGUGACUGCAUCGCUGGAGUACGGCAGAGGGGGAUGGAAUUCCGCGUGUAGCAGUGAAAUGCGUAGAUAUGCGGAGGAACACCGAUGGCGAAGGCAAUCCCCUGGGCCUGUACUGACGCUCAUGCACGAAAGCGUGGGGAGCGAAACAAGG